rnacentral:misc_RNA from 1 species
UCUUGUGAGUUGUCGAGAGCGAUAUUGUCGUACAGCGCGUCCUGGACAGCGGGAAGCUCGAGCGAGGACCGACGCACCUGUUUCGGCGAAUCGAGCCAGUCGAGU